CAAAAAGGAGUGUGUGUUCCUGGUAUUGAGCCAUGUGGGCAGAUGUUUAUUUUUUCAGCAAUUCUCUGGCAAAAACCGCAACAAGACAGCACGAGUGCACGCCGAGUUUUCCAGCAGCCGCCGACCAACGAAGAUGCGGAGAGCGACGCAACUUGCAGCCUUUUCAGAGGGAGAGCAGCCGAACCCAGAUGGAGACAAGUUAUGCAACCUGCUCAGCGCCCGUGCUCAGAUGGUGAUUCACCUUUCACCAACAAAUGUGGACGAAACUGAUUGGACGCAAAGGGAGAAUGCUGCCGCAAGCGGAAUUUAAAGUUUAACCAAUGACACUGCACUUUGAUGGCCGGUGAGCGCCAACAAUGAUCCUCAGUCGUCAGCACCCAUUUUGGGGCGGAAACAACAAAAGGAACAGCGCGCGGCUUGGCGACAAGAGAAGAGACGACAGGACCGACGGCGCGGGAAGAUUUAGCCUCGAGGCGCGUUUCGAAUGCCAAGCCACAGAAAAUUCAACGCUAGAGAAUGGCUCGUUAGACUUUAAAAGCGCUCUUCAAGACCACAAAACGGUCUUAACGACAAAAUUUUAGUUGUAUUAUGUGACUUAAUUCUCUUCACGGCUGUCUGUCUUUAAAGAAAUUGAUUGAAGUAGAUCUCGCGACGAAGA